UUUGACUAGGCCUAUUCGAGGGUCACAUGGUUGUGAAUUCAUACCUCAACUUUGCAGCUGGAUUUUCAGUCUUAUUACAACUUCAGUCUGGCGUCCCGGGAGCAGGUGUCUUUUGCACACUUAAAUUAAUUUCAAAGAUGUUUUGUUGGAAUCACAACACUCACUGGAUACAAGACGGAUACAGAGAGGCAAAACAAGUGGAAAGGUCUCAGAGAAGAGGGACAACCCUCAUUGUCUCCCAGGACACACCGCUGGUCCCACUGUUGGCAUGCCGGCUCGAGGCCUCCUCCACCCAGGCUCUGCCUCGGCAUCUCAACCAACGCACUCCUGUGACAAGCCCCUGGAACCCGGACAAGCGAC